GGGCCAAAGUAACAUCGGAGAGUGAACCACAAAAACCAACUGCAGGAGCAAGAAAUGUUAGAAUGAAAAGUCUCCAGUGAAACAAAAAGUGAAACAGCCACCCAACUUGUCAGUUUGCUGGAGAGGAGGGACAGCACUGAGAUAGAAAUGGCAUCACUUCCAAACCCGCACAGCACGCUGCAGCCCCAGGGGAGCCAGAGAGGCCCCAUGCCUCACAGCACCAGGCAGAGCCUCCUCGCUAUCCAGUAUGGACAAAAGUAGUUAGUUGUGUCUCAAACCUAAAGAAAUCACUUUACAACAGAAGGACAUCCUUUAUAACAUGGCUAACUCGCCCUUAGUGGAGACUGCCAUAAAAAGGUGAAGCAGAGGAGACUACUCCAUCAAUACAGAUGCCUGAGCUCUUGAAAGGAUAAAAUAACUCUUCUUCAGCUUUCUCUCACCUCUAACAGGUCUAACUCGGGUACAUUUUUUCCUUCCUAUAUGGCUUAAAAGCUGUAAAUCUGACCAGGUUCCUAUGACACAGGCUAUACUAAGAAGUAGAUGAGGUCAAAUAGUAACCAGCAGGAAAAAAAAUAGGCCCCAAACCACUGGCUAAAGCAAACCUGGCAAGUUAUUGUACAUGCCUAGAUAUGAUACUAAGUUUCCAUACUUGGGG